UUGAAGAUGUGCUGAGUUCCUGAAUUUGUUAUGAAUAAAGCAGUUAACUACAUAUCUCACAAACCAAUCAGAUUGAAAUACUAUUAAAGAGCAUCACAGAGUUUGAACCAGGAAGUGUCAGUCUUUAUUUGGUACCUUCAUGAUUGUAUCAAUACUGUUUCCUGCUCUUACCCUGAAUUGGAAAACCUUAUUAGCUUUGCUUCCAAUUUCUAUCCUUCCCUACCUUCACAUGACCCACUUCUAAUUCUUCCAUACACUUCAUUGACUUCUCUGUCUCCAUUUCUGGAGAUAUGUUAACAAAUACUCUUUAUAAUCACACUGAUACCCCCAGCUGCCUUGACUAUACAUGUUCGCACUCAACCUCCUUUAGGGACUACAUUGCACCCCUCAAUUUCUUCUUCUCUGAGGCAUUUGUUUUCGUGAUGCAAAAUUCACAAUGGUACUUUGAAUAUGUCUUCAUCUUUCCUUAAUUGAAGUUUUCCCAAACUAUGGUUGACUAGGUCCUCGAUCAUGUUUGUUUCAUUUCUGGCACUUCUUCUUUCAUGCCUUUACUUUCCUCCAAACAUAGGGUUCCCAUGUCAUCAUCUUCCACCUGACUGGCUUCUGUAUUCAAUGGACCAUCCUCUGUCAUUUUUGCCAACAUUGGCAUGCGCCACAACUGAACUAAUUUUCCCUUGUCUGCCUGUGUCAGCAUUCUGAGGAAACCAUUUAGUCUAAUUACCGUAGUCUACUUCCCAAUUACCUCCAGCAUCCAAGCUCCUUCCCACAGAACCAUUCCAUAUAAGCACAGGAGAUAUAAUUUCUGCUCUUUUACCUCCACUCUCUUCACUAGCCAAGGCCUCAAACACUCCUUCUACGUGAAGUAGUAAUUUAUUUGUACUUCUUUUCAGUUUAUUAUACAGUACGUGCUGCUUCCAUUGUGUUGUUAUCUACAUUAAGGAGAUCAACAUGGAAGACCACAUUAUGGAAUGCCACCAUUCAGACCACAAGCAAGACCAAGAUUCUCUGUACCUGCCAUUUGACUUCUCCACCUUAUUCUCAGGUUGACCUCUCCAUACUUAACUUGCUGUAGUGUUCCAGUGAAGCUCAACAGAGCUCAAGGUUGGCGUAGGGAGGCAGUAUGUGGUGCCAUAAGAAUGGGUAUCUAGGAUCACCAAUGGAAAUAUUCUGGGUCAGGGUAAAUAGAGCAGGAGACCAAGUGAUGCACCUCCAAGAAUACGAUCAACUGGAGUUGGAAAUCCUAUUCCACCUAUUGUUCCUCGGCUUUAAAUGUGUGAGAUAAAUGGACUAGAAUUUCUUUCUGAUCAUAUCAUAAAGGGACUGGAAAUAGAAUUGUCAAUUUUGAUGGAAGGAGAUUUGGCAUUUUAUAUAACCAAAAUGGAAGGGAUCUUGUCUGGAUUCAAUCACUUAGUGUUAAACAAAAGAUUUAAUACUGUAAUAAUAUUGAAACUGUAUUCUUUAUGAACAAAUAUGGUUUUGUUCAUACCAAGUCUCUCCUCCCACAAAAGACUGAUGUUAAUUAUAUCAUAACAGAUUGUCUAAUAUUGAAACCUCAUCAACAUACAUUUAUAUCCAAAAGUAAAAUUUUGUGUGUACAACUUUACUGCUUUUGCCUCUAAUUUUUAAAAUGGAUUUAAGUAAGUUAAUGUUCCCAUUUCAACAACUGAAGUAUGUUUAUGGCUGUGUGCUAAACCGUUUUGAUGUACAUUUGUUUGCUUUUGUGUGUUGCUUCUGUUGACAUUAGGCUACCAUUAAGCACAUAUGGUUUGUAUAGAAUGGUUACAUCCUUCCUAAAACUUCACCUUUCAAGGAUAUUGCUGAGAAAUCCGCUGUGAAUGAGCCCAAGGGUGUACUUUGUGGCCAAGGAUAAAUCUUCUUGUCAAGAAGCACUGACUCUACAAGAUAUAUUAAUUGAUGUUUUCCAUUGUUCUGCUUGUUUCCUCCUUUAUUGUGGUAGUUUUGUCAGUAGCUUUUUUUUUCCAGAAUGGAAGAAAAUGAUACCAUAUGGCUUUAUUUGCUUUUCCAGUGCAAUAAAGUAACUGAUCUAAUGGCUAA